rnacentral:lncRNA from 1 species
AGAAAAAGUUUGCUGACCCUGGAGCUAGAGCUCUGAUAAUUAGAUUGGAUGCCAUGACAUUUUACAAUGCCCUUUAAUUCCACUCCCUUUCCAUCAACCCCCGGAAUACUAGUUAAAACAAAGACCAUUGUAGGCCAGUCCAUUAGCUUUGUGGUCCAGGUACAAACUUUGCAGUUUUAGUGAAACCAUUUGUUAAUUUUUAUUUUUCUAAUAUUUACUUAGCUUGAUAAUAUCAACUCCGUUCUGAUGACUUCGAUAUUAAUAUGAUUAUAUUGGAGAGAAUAUAAUGAGAUCAAAUCGCUUUACCCAUCAAGACCAGGAACUGAAGAACUUCUUCCUCCUUUGCUACCUCAUCUCUUAGCUAGAACUUAGGGCUUCUAUUACUCCUACAAGAAUUCCUUUACCUUAGCUGGAGAGGUAAAAUGAAUUGCUAAACACUUAAAAACCAGCAUGACUGUACCAAGGAAUAAAACAUGUUAACUCUGUUUCAGUACAGAGAAGAAAGCUCAGAACAUAGUAUGCCUUCUGUGAUAAUCCUGAGUGUGAACUUGAGUGGAUGGAAGGAUACAAAGUAUUGAUCCUGGGUGUGUCUGUGAGGGUGUUGCCAAAGAAGAUUAACAUUUGAGUCAGUGUGCAGACCCACUCUUAAUCUGGGUGGGCACAAUCUAAUUAGCUGCCAGCGCUGCUAGAAUAUAAGCAGGCAGAAACAUGUGAAAAGAAAGACUGGCCUAGCCUCCCAGCCUACAUCUUUCUCCCAUGCUGGAUGCUUCCUUCUCUGAAAUAUUGGACUCCAAGUUCUUCAGUUUUGGAACUUGGACUGGCUCUCCUUGCUUCUCAGCCUACAGAUGGCCUAUUGUGGAACGUUGUGAUUACAAAGCCUGCCAACCCUGGCCUAUAUUUUCACAUGAUAACAACUGUGAGGAGCUCAGAAGUCACUGCGCAUGCAGGUGAGGAUAUAUCUAUACCCUCCUUGCCCAGGAUCCCCCUGCCUUCUCCAUUUGAAUAGCUCCUGGCUCCUGCAGAUAUGUGAGUUGUGACCUGCUGGAAGAGUCCUGAAAGGGAGAGUGACAGGAUCAAAUGAAGACUUUCAGUAAGUCACCUGGAAAUAGUGUGUAGGAUUAAUUUAACGAGUCUGGAGGUUGAUGCCUGUUAGUAUCUGCUGUCGAAGUCCUGGCAUGAAUGGAUGAGGACCUAUGUGAUGUGAACUCAGCUGAAGAAUGAAAGACAGGGGAAGUAGAGUUUGAAGAAAGGAUUAAUUGAACCUGAGGAUGGAUUGGAUAUUAAAAAUGAAUGAAAAGAAAAAGUAAUGAUGACUAAAAUUUCUAGACUGGAUAAUUAGGAAAAUGUUAAUUUCUGAUGUAAAAGGGAACUCAGGAAAGAGUCAACCUAGGACAAAAAUCAAAAGACCUACAUAUGGAAAGAAAUAUACUGAUUUGAGUGAACCCAAGCAGAGUUUGAAGACACAGAUUCAAAGGUAUUUGACAACAAAAAAAGGACUUUGAGAUCAAUGCCAGAGAUGGGGACUCAAUUUUGCAUACUGCUUAUAUACUGCCUACGUAAAGGCACUUUAUGAUAAAGAACAUCUCAAAAAAAUAACAUAUAGAACAAGGGGCAAAAAUAGGGGAUAAAAGAGAUGAUUCCCAAUUAUUGGUCAAGUGGUUGGAGUGAGAAUUAAAGGCAAAAUUCCUCUUCUCCCCCUCAAAAUUACACACAACUACACAAACAUAUGUGUUAAUGAUUUUAGUGUGUUGAAUCUGGCUGCUUCCACACUGCAUGCAUCCUACCUUUCUCCAUUCACACCUGAGAUAAUCUCAUUCUAGUGAAGUCUUACAUUAUAAAUGACAACACCAAUAUUUAGGGACGUUCCUCUUUUUUCUUCACUGACUUUGCCUUUCCAAACAAUAUACUUUGUGAAUCCUCUGAGAAAAAAGAAAGUAGUUUGAUCUGCUGGUUUUUAGGACAAUAAUUUUUAAAGGACUUGUUAUUUUUGGUUCAGACACCAUGCAAAACUCAUCUUCAAUCAAGGGCAGGUGCCAGGUACAGCAUCAAGAAAGUAACAGGUGGUUUCUCUUCCUCUCCUUUCCUCUAAAACAUGAAUAAAACAAAAGUUUUAGCAUUUCAGAAAUAAUCUUUUUAAUUAAAAGUGGAAGAUAAAUGUGAUAAAAGUUUUCUUUGAGCUCUUGAAAACAAGUUCAUUCUAUAAGGGUUAGAAAUAGUAUUUUUUAUCUGUCACUAGAGCCAUUGUACUGUGGGGCCUAAUGUUUCAGAUUUUGGAUACUCAUUUCUUUCGAUUGAAGGUGUCAUCAGGUGUUUUCCACCUUUAGUGAUCUCAAGUGGUUCCCCUUCAGUUGCUAAAAUAUACUGUGUCGUUUGAGCAGUCCAAGACCCACAGAGAUCUGCUAUCUAUAUUGGCAGAUAAAUGACAGCAGAUGGAAUUGAGGCUGUGUUCUGUCUCAUCGGCAAGCCUGCAGCCUUAGAAGAAGAGAUGUGCCCCUGAAGCAUUAUGCAGGUUGCUCAUCCAGAAUCAGUGUCACUGUCAUAGUUUGUGAAAGGGAAAUUGGCAAAUCUCUAUACAUAAUAGGCAAAAUGCAACCCUCUCAAUUCUCAAAGGCAUAUUCUCUUCACUCACAUUUUUGUCUUUUUGCUGAAGGGAGGUUUCUGGGCCAAGAUGUUCUGACAGCCUGGUAUUUUCUUUUUUUGCCCAAUGUGUAAGAAGAUAAUUAAUGUUACCAUUAAUGCAUGCAAUGACAUUAGUAUCAAUUCCCUUAGUGAUAUAUAUGCACUAGGAAAUGAACACAAAAGUUAAUUAACAAUUUAUUGAGCAUAUACUAUAUUACAAGUUUACUAUACAAUUGUGCUUUAUUACUAUUGGUGAAAAUAAUGAAAGAUGGCACUUUUCUAUUCUUCACCAUAUACAAGGCACAGUUCCAAGGAUUUAAAAUCUAUCAACUUUAUGAAUCUUUACAACAGGAGGAGCCAAGAUGGCCGAAUAGGAACAGCUCCGGUCUACAGCUCCCAGCCUGAGCGACGCAGAAGACAGGUGAUUUCUGCAUUUCCAUCUGAGGUACUGGGUUCAUCUCACUAGGGAGUGCCAGACAGUAGGCGCAGGUCAGUGGGUGCGCGCACCGUGCACAAGCCGAAGCAGGGCGAGGCAUUGCCUCACUCGGGAAGUGCAAGGGGUCAGGGAGUUCCCUUUCCUAAUCAAAGAAAGGGGUGACGGAUGGCACCUGGAGAAUCGGGUCACUCCCACCCGAAUACUGCGCUUUUCCGACGGGCUUAAAAAACAGCACACCACGAGAUUAUAUCCCGCACCUGGCUGGGAGGGUCCUACCCCACGGAGUCUCGCUGAUUGCUAGCACAGCAGUCUGAGAUCAAACUGCAAGGCAGCGGCGAGGCUGGGGGAGGGGCGCCCACCAUUGUCCAGGCUUGCUUAGGUAAACAAAGCAGCCGGGAAGCUCCAACUGGGUGGAGCCCACCACAGCUCAAGGAGGCCUGCGUGCUUCUGUAGGCUCCAACUCUGGGGGCAGGGCAGGGCACAGACAAACAAAAAGACAGCAGUAACCUCUGCAGACUUAAAUGUCCCUGUCUGACAGCUUUCAAGAGAGCAGUGGUUCUCCCAGCACGCAGCUGGAGAUCUGAGAACUGGCAGACUGCCUCCUCAAGUGGGUCUCUGACCCCUGACCCCCGAGCAGCCUAACUGGGAGGCUCCAGCAGGGGCAGGCUGACACCUCACACUGCAGGGUACUCCAACAGACCUGCAGCUGAGGGUCCUGUCUGUUAGAAGGAAAACUAACAAACAGAAAGGACAUCCACACCAAAAACCCAUCUGUACAUCACCAUCAUCAAAGACCAAAAGUAGAUAAAACCACAAAGAUGGGGAAAAAACAGAACAGAAAAACUGGAAACUCUAAAAAUCAGAGCGCCUCUCCUCCUCUAAAGGAACGCAGCUCCUCACCAGCAACAGAACAAAGCUGGAUGGAGAAUGACUUUGACGAGCUGAGAGAAGAAGGCUUCAGACGAUCAAAUUACUCUGAGCUACGGGAGGACAUUCAAACCAAAGGCAAAGAAGUUGAAAACUUUAAAAAAAAUUUAGAAGAAUGUAUAACUAGAAUAACCAAUACAGAGAAGUGCUUAAAGGAGCUGAUGGAGCUGAAAACCAAGGCUCAAGAACUACCUGAAGAAUGCAGAAGCCUCAGGAGCUGAUGCGAUCAACUGGAAGAAAGGGUAUCAGCAAUGGAAGAUGAAAUGAAUGAAAUGAAGUGAGAAGGAAAGUUUAGAGAAAAAAGAAUAAAAAGAAACGAGCAAAGCCUCCAAGAAAUAUGGGACUAUGUGAAUAGACCAAGUCUACGUCUGACUGGUGUACCUGAAAGUGAUGGGGAGAAUGGAACCAAGUUGGAAAACACUCUGCAGGAUAUUAUCCAGGAGAAUUUCCCCAAUCUAGCAAGGCAGGCCAACGUUCAGAUUCAGGAAAUACACAGAACGCCACAAAGAUACUCCUCGAGAAGAGCAACUCCAAGACACAUAAUUGUCAGAUUCACCAAAGUUGAAAUGAAG